GCUAGAAAAAGUCAUCGAAAAAUCCCUAUGACUAAUGCACAGACUGACAGUCUGACUGGAAAGUGCAAACACAGACACCGAUUUAUCAGCACUCUAUAUAUAUCAGUGACAUAAAUAUCAGCUGCUGGACCAACUAGAUUUGAGGAACAGAAGUGCAAUUACUAUUUUAUAAAGUUACAUAAAGUUUAAACACCCAAAGAUGAGCUCGAAACUUUCUAUAAACCAAAACACUUUGAGUUGUGUAUCAAGGUGCUGUUGGAGACAGUGGGCUGCUACAGACCUGUGAAGGACCAGUGUUUUUGUAAGAAGAUAUAAGGCUGCAGCAGGGUGCUCCCCUGUGUACCAGUCCUGAAGACUUCUCCAGGCCAGAACAGAACCAUACGGGGGAAAACUGGCCUCAACUACAGAAGAAUUUCCACAGAGACACUAUCCUCUGAAAUACUUCAUGAAUGAAGAAAUGAUUUAGUCGAAAUGGUGCUUUCAGACACUUUAAACUGGACAUGAUGACUCUCCGGUGUGCAGCGUCAGUUUGACCAGAAUAAUGGUUAAAACAGAGAAGGGGACGGAGACACAGAUACGGGUUAACAGGUUUCUUGAAGGGAAUGCAGAGCGUGAACAGGAUGCAGGGAGCGUGGAUACCAGGAGACGUGGGAACGAAGACACACUGGAGAAACACUGGAGACGAGGAGACACAGGGAAUCACGGAGAACGCUGGAGACGGGUAGUUCGAGAGCUAGGGAGUCCAGGAGGUAAGUGAACACAGCAGAAGUUGCUGAUUGAUGCAGAACUGGCCACUGUACCUCGAAGUUCAAAAACACCACCACUGCCAUGCACCGGAGAGAUAAGAAUACCAGAUGGCUAACUCUGAAAACAGAGGAAGAUGGCAACAUCAUAUCUGCAGGAAAAC